CCUACGGGGGGCUGCAGUGGGGAAUAUUGGACAAUGGGGGCAACCCUGAUCCAGCCAUGCCGCGUGUGUGAAGAAGGCCAUCGGGUUGUAAAGCACUUUCAGUGAGGAAGAACGCCUGGUGGUUAAUACCCAUCAGGAAAGACAUCACUCACAGAAGAAGCACCGGCUAACUCCGUGCCAGCAGCCGCGGUAAUACGGAGGGUGCGAGCGUUAAUCGGAAUUACUGGGCGUAAAGCGCGCGUAGGUGGCUUGAUAAGCCGGUUGUGAAAGCCCCGGGCUCAACCUGGGAACGGCAUCCGGAACUGUCAAGCUAGAGUGCAGGAGAGGAAGGUAGAAUUCCCGGUGUAGCGGUGAAAUGCGUAGAGAUCGGGAGGAAUACCAGUGGCGAAGGCGGCCUUCUGGACUGACACUGACACUGAGGUGCGAAAGCGUGGGUAGCAAACAGGAUUAGAUACCCUUGUAGUC
rnacentral:rRNA from 1 species